GUGAGUAACCUGCCCUUGACUCUGGGAUACCCUGGGAAACUGGGUCUAAUACUGGAUAUGACCUCUUGCCGCAUGGUGGGAGGUGGAACGAUUUAUUGGUCUUGGAUGGACUUUUUGCCUAUCAGCUUGUUGGUGAGGUAAUGGCUCACCUGGGCGACGACUGGUAGCCGGCCUGAGAGGGUGACCGGCCACACUGGGACUGAUACACGGCCCACACUCCUACGGGAGGUUGAGUGGGGAAUAUUGCACUGUGGGCGCAAGCCUGAUGCAUGGACGCCGGUGAGGGAUGACGGCCUUCGGGUUGUAAACCUCUUUCAUUAGGGAAGAAGCGAUAGUGACGGUACCUGCACAAGAGUCGCCGGGUAACUACGUGCCAACAGCCGCGGUAAUACGUACGGGACGAGGGUUAUCCGGAAUUAUUGGGUUUAAAUA
rnacentral:rRNA from 1 species